rnacentral:rRNA from 1 species
UUUAACUGAGCGUUCAGUUACUUGACGUAGACCCGAAACCGGGCGACCUACCCAUGAGCAGGAUGAAGCGAAAGUAAAAUUUCGUGGAGGUCCGAACCCACGAGCGUUGAAAAGCUCGGGGAUGACUUGUGGGUAGCGGUGAAAUUCCAAUCGAGCCCGGAGAUAGCUGGUUCUCCCCGAAAUAGCUUUAGGGCUAGCCUCAAGGUGAGAGAUACGGAGGUAGAGCACUGAAUGUCCUAGGGGGUAUUGCACCUACCGAAGACUAUCAAACUCCGAAUGCCGUCAUCUUAUACUUGGGAGUCAGACUGUGGGUGAUAAGAUUCAUAGUCGAAAGGGCAACAGCCCAGAUCGUCAGCUAAGGUCCCUAAAUGUAAGUUAAGUGGUAAAGGAUGUGGGAUUGCACAGACAACCAGGAUGUUGGCUUAGAAGCAGCCACUCAUUCAAAGAGUGCGUAAUAGCUCACUGGUCGAGUGAUCCUGCGCCGAAGAUUUCCGGGGCUAAAACUUACUACCGAAGCUACGGCAUCAGUAAUGAUGGGUAGGGGAGCUUCCCAUACGGGUUGAAGCAUGACCGUAAGGACAUGUGGACAGUAUGGGAGUGAGAAUGUUGGCAUGAGUAGCGAGAUGUGGGUGAGAAUCCCACAGGCCGUAAACCCAAGGUUUCCAGGGGAAGGUUCGUCCGCCCUGGGUUAGUCGGGACCUAAGCUGAGGCCGAAAGGCGUAGGUGAUGGACAACAGGUUGAUAUUCCUGUACUACCGAUAACCGUUUGAGAGAAGGGAUGACACAGUAGGAUAAGCUAAGCACACUGUUGGUUAUGUGUGCCCAAGCAUUGAGGCAGUCAAAGUAGGCAAAUCCGCUUUGAUAAUGCUAGGAUGUGAUGGGGAGCGAAAUUUAGUAGCGAAGUAGCUGAUUUCACACUGUCAAGAAAAGUCUCUAUCGAGGUUAAAGGUACCCGUACCGCAAACCGACACAGGUGGGUGAGGAGAGUAUCCUAA